UACGGAGGGGGCUAGCGUUGUUCGGAAUUACUGGGCGUAAAGCGCACGUAGGCGGCCUUGUAAGUUAGAGGUGAAAGCCCAGGGCUCAACCCUGGAAUUGCCUUUAAGACUGCAUCGCUUGAACACGGGAGAGGUGAGUGGAAUUCCGAGUGUAGAGGUGAAAUUCGUAGAUAUUCGGAAGAACACCAGUGGCGAAGGCCGCUCACUGGACCGUUGUUGACGCUGAGGUGCGAAAGCGUGGGGAGCAAACAGG
rnacentral:rRNA from 1 species